AGCAACGCCGCGUGGAGGAUGAAUGAUUUCGGUCUGUAAACUCCUUUUCUACAAGAAGAUUAUGACGGUAUUGUAGGAAUAAGCACCGGCUAACUCCGUGCCAGCAGCCGCGGUAAUA
rnacentral:rRNA from 1 species